AUUGAACGCUGGCGGCAGGCCUAACACAUGCAAGUCGAACGAGUGGCGGACGGGUGAGUAAUGUCUGGGAAACUGCCUGAUGGAGGGGGAUAACUACUGGAAACGGUAGCUAAUACCGCAUACCCUCAGAUGUGCCCAGAUGGGAUUAGCUUGUUGGUGGGGUAACGGCUCACCAAGGCGAGGACCCCUAGCUGGUCUGAGAGGAGGACCGGCCACACUGGAACUGAGACACGGCCCAAACUCCAACGGAGGGAAGAAGUGGGGAAUUUUGCAAAAUGGGCGCAAGCCUAAUGCACCAAGGCCGCGUAUAUGAGGAGGGCCUUCGGGUUGUAAAGUACUUUCAGCGGGGAGGCGUUACCCGCAGAAGAAGCACCGGCUAACUCCGUGCCAGCCGCCGCGGUAAUAC
rnacentral:rRNA from 1 species